rnacentral:rRNA from 1 species
GAAGCGUGCGAUUGGAUUGCACGUCUAAGCAGUAAGGCUGAGUAUUAGGCAAAUCCGGUACUCAUUAAGGCUGAGCUGUGAUGGGGAGAAGACAUUGUGUCUUCGAGUCGUUGAUUUCACACUGCCGAGAAAAGCCUCUAGAUAGAAAAUAGGUGCCCGUACCGCAAACCGACACAGGUAGUCAAGAUGAGAAUUCUAAGGUGAGCGAGCGAACUCUCGUUAAGGAACUCGGCAAAAUGACCCCGUAACUUCGGGAGAAGGGGUGCUCUUUAGGGUUAACGCCCAGAAGAGCCGCAGUGAAUAGGCCCAAGCGACUGUUUAUCAAAAACACAGGUCUCUGCUAAACCGUAAGGUGAUGUAUAGGGGCUGACGCCUGCCCGGUGCUGGAAGGUUAAGAGGAGUGGUUAGCUUCUGCGAAGCUACGAAUCGAAGCCCCAGUAAACGGCGGCCGUAACUAUAACGGUCCUAAGGUAGCGAAAUUCCUUGUCGGGUAAGUUCCGACCCGCACGAAAGGCGUAACGAUUUGGGCACUGUCUCAACGAGAGACUCGGUGAAAUCAUAGUACCUGUGAAGAUGCAGGUUACCCGCGACAGGACGGAAAGACCCCGUGGAGCUUUACUGUAGCCUGAUAUUGAAAUUCGGCACAGCUUGUACAGGAUAGGUAGGAGCCUUUGAAACGUGAGCGCUAGCUUACGUGGAGGC